rnacentral:rRNA from 1 species
GAUAUCAGGAGGAACACCGAUGGCGAAGGCAGGUUACUGGGCAGUUACUGACGCUGAGGAGCGAAAGCAUGGGUAGCGAACAGGAUUAGAUACCCUGGUAGUCCAUGCCGUAAACGGUGGGCGCUAGGUGUGAGGGUCUUUUCACGACUUUCGUGCCGUAGCUAACGCAUUAAGCGCCCCGCCUGGGGAGUACGGCCGCAAGGCUAAAACUCAAAGGAAUUGACGGGGGCCCGCACAAGCGGCGGAGCAUGUGGAUUAAUUCGAUGCAACGCGAAGAACCUUACCUGGGCUUGACAUACACCGGAUCGGGCUAGAGAUAGUCUUUCCCUUUGUGGCUGGUGUACAGGUGGUGCAUGGUUGUCGUCAGCUCGUGUCGUGAGAUGUUGGGUUAAGUCCCGCAACGAGCGCAACCCUUGUCUUAUGUUGCCAGCAUUUGGUUGGGGACUCAUGAGAGACUGCCGGGGUCAACUCGGAGGAAGGUGGGGAUGACGUCAAAUCAUCAUGCCCCUUAUGUCCAGGGCUUCACACAUGCUACAAUGGUC